rnacentral:rRNA from 1 species
UACGUAGGUGGCGAGCGUUGUCCGGAAUCACUGGGCGUAAAGGGUGCGUAGGCGGGUCUUUAAGUCAGGGGUGAAAUCCUGGAGCUCAACUCCAGAACUGCCUUUGAUACUGAAGAUCUUGAGUUCGGGAGAGGUGAGUGGAACUGCGAGUGUAGAGGUGAAAUUCGUAGAUAUUCGCAAGAACACCAGUGGCGAAGGCGGCUCACUGGCCCGAUACUGACGCUGAGGCACGAAAGCGUGGGGAGCAAACAGG